rnacentral:rRNA from 1 species
GAUGAACGCUGGCGGCGUGCUUAACACAUGCAAGUCGAACGAUGAAGCCCAGCUUGCUGGGUGGAUUAGUGGCGAACGGGUGAGUAACACGUGAGUAACCUGCCCUUGACUCUGGGAUAAGCCCGGGAAACUGGGUCUAAUACCGGAUAGGAGCGCCUGUCGCAUGACGGGUGUUGGAAAGAUUUUUCGGUCAUGGAUGGACUCGCGGCCUAUCAGCUUGUUGGUGAGGUAAUGGCUCACCAAGGCGACGACGGGUAGCCGGCCUGGGAGGGUGAACGGCCACACUGGGACUGAGACACGGCCCAGACUCCUACGGGAGGCAGCAGUGGGGAAUAUUGCACAAUGGGCGGAAGCCUGAUGCAGCGACGCCGCGUGAGGGAUGACGGCCUUCGGGUUGUAAACCUCUUUCAGUAGGGAAGAAGCGAAAGUGACGGUACCUGCAGAAGAAGCACCGGCUAACUACGUG